GAUGAACGCUGGCGGCGUGCCUAAUACAUGCAAGUCGAGCGAACAGACGAGGAGCUUGCUCCUCUGACGUUAGCGGCGGACGGGUGAGUAACACGUGGAUAACCUACCUAUAAUACUGGGAUAACUUCGGGAAACCGGAGCUAAUACCGGAUAACAUGGUGAACCGCAUGGUUCAACAGUGAAAGACGGUCUUGCUGUCACUUAUAGAUGGAUCCGCGCCGCAUUAGCUAGUUGGUAAGGUAACGGCUUACCAAGGCAACGAUGCGUAGCCGACCUGAGAGGGUGAUCGGCCACACUGGAACUGAGACACGGUCCAGACUCCUACGGGAGGCAGAAGUAGGGAAUCUUCCGCAAUGGGCGAAAUCCUGACGGAGCAACGCCGCGUGAGUGAAGAAGGUCUUCGGAUCGUAAAACUCUGUUAUUAGGGAAGAACAAAUGUGUAAGUAACUAUGCACGUCUUGACGGUACCUAAUCAGAAAGCCACGGCUAACUACGUG
rnacentral:rRNA from 1 species